AAAAUAUCCCUCUUAUCUAAACAUAUACCCAAACCCAUGAAAACAAAUACCCUCUGCCACAUCCUGACCAAGCUACAAUAACAAAUAGACCCCUAUACUGGUCAGGACGUGACAAGCAUGGUGUGUGCAACGCCAGGGUUGUGGGUUCGAUUCCCACGGGGGGCCAGUACAAAAAAAUAAAAAAAUAAAUGCAUGAAAUGAAAUGUAUGCAUUCACUACUGUAAGUCGCUCUGGAUAAGAGCUUCUGCUAAAUGACUAAAAUGUAAAUGUAAGGCAAUAACUAGGCCAUAGAAGACAGACUGGUUAUGGGGUUAGGACUGUUAUGGGGUAAGGACUGGUUGUUAUGAGGUUAGGACUGUUAUGGGGUUAGGACUAGUUGUUAUGAGGUUAGGACUCAUGGGGUUGGGACUGGUUGUUAUGGGGUUGGGACUGGUUGUUAUGGGGUUAGGAAUCAUGGGGUUGGGACUGGUUGUUAUGGGGUUAGGACUGGUUGUUAUGAGGUUAGGACUGGUUGUUAUGGGGUUAGGACUGGUGGUUAUGGGGUUAGGACUGGUGGUUAUGGGGUUAGGACUGGUGGUUAUGGGGUUAGGACUCAUGGGGUUGGGACUGGUUGUUAUGGGGUUAGGACUGGUUGUUAUGGGGUUAGGACUGGUUGUUAUGGGGUUAGGACUGGUUGUUAUGGGGUUAGGACUGGUGGUUAUGGGGUUGGGACUGGUUGUUAUGAGGUUAGGUCUCAUGGGGUUGGGACUGGUUGUUACGGGGUUGGGACUGGUUGUUAUGGGGUUAGGACUGGUUGUUACGGGGUUGGGACUGGUUGUUAUGGGGGUUAGGACUGGUUGUUAUGGGGUUAGGACUGGUGGUUAUGGGGUUAGGACUGGUGGUUAUGGGGUUAGGACUGGUUGUUAUGGGGUUAGGACUGGUUCUUAUGGGGUUAGGACUGGUUGUUACAGGUUGGGACUGGUUGUUAUGGGGUUAGGACUGGUUGUUAUGGGGUUGGGACUGGUGGUUAUGGGGUUGGGACUGGUUGUUAUGGGGGUUAGGACUGGUUGUUAUGGGGUUAGGACUGGUUGUCAUGGGGUUAGGACUGGUGGUUAUGGGGUUAGGACUGGUUGUUAUGGGGUUAGGACUGGUUGUUAUGGGGUUAGGACUGGUUGUUAUGGGGUUAGGACUGGUUGUUAUGGGGUUGGGACUGGUUGUUAUGGGGUUGGGACUGGUUGUUAUGGGGUUAGGACUGGUUGUUAUGGGGUUAGGACUGGUUGUUAUGGGGUUGGGACUGGUUGUUAUGGGGUUGGGACUGGUUGUUAUGGGGUUGGGACUGGUUGUUAUGGGGUUAGGACUGGUUGUUAUGGGGUUGGGACUGGUUGUUAUGGGGUUGGGACUGGUUGUUAUGGGGUUAGGACUGGUUCUUAUGGGGUUAGGACUGGUUGUUAUGGGUUAGGACUGGUUGUUAUGAGGUUAGGACUGGUUGUUAUGAGGUUAGGACUCAUGGGGUUGGGACUGGUUGUUAUGGGGUUGGGACUGGUUGUUAUGGGGUUAGGACUGGUUGUUAUGGGGUUAGGACUGGUGGUUAUGGGGUUGGGACUGGUUGUUAUGAGGUUAGGACUCAUGGGGUUGGGACUGGUUGUUAUGGGGUUAGGACUGGUUGUUAUGGGGUUGGGACUGGUGGUUAUGGGGUUGGGACUGGUUGUUAUGGGGGGUUAGGACUGGUUGUUAUGGGGUUAGGACUGGUUGUCAUGGGGUUAGGAC
rnacentral:lncRNA from 1 species